GUGGGGAAUAUUGGACAAUGGGCGAAAGCCUGAUCCAGCCAUGCCGCGUGUGUGAAGAAGGUCUUCGGAUUGUAAAGCACUUUAAGUUGGGAGGAAGGGCAGUAAGUUAAUACCUUGCUGUUUUGACGUUACCGACAGAAUAAGCACCGGCUAACUUCGUGCCAGCAGCCGCGGUAAUACGAAGGGUGCAAGCGUUAAUCGGAAUUACUGGGCGUAAAGCGCGCGUAGGUGGUUUUGUAAGUUGGGGGUGAAAUCCCCGGGCUCAACCUGGGAACUGCCUCCAAAACUGCAUGACUAGAGUACGGUAGAGGGUAGUGGAAUUUCCUGUGUAGCGGUGAAAUGCGUAGAUAUAGGAAGGAACACCAGUGGCGAAGGCGACUACCUGGACUGAUACUGACACUGAGGUGCGAAAGCGUGGGGAGCAAACAGGAUUAGAUACCCCGGUAGUCC
rnacentral:rRNA from 1 species